GUCUCUUUUCCGUUCCAGUUCCAGUCCUGACAGUCUUGGCAAUUGAUCUUUCCAUCGCGACUCACGACUACUUGAAAGUCAAGGGGAUAAAUCAAUCUUCCGAUAGGCAAGCGGUGAUUAGUUGUUUCCUUGUCUAUGUCUUGAAAGUUCCUCUUUCAAGUAAAGCUAACAAAAGACACUCUUUCUUCUUCUGGUCAGGUAGCCAGGUACGAGUAGGC
rnacentral:lncRNA from 1 species